UACAGAGGGUGCAAGCGUUGUUCGGAAUCAUUGGGCGUAAAGGGCGCGUAGGCGGUUAUACAAGUCGAAUGUGAAAGCCCAGGGCUCAACCUUGGAAGUGCAUCCGAAACUGCAUAACUAGAAUCUCGGAGAGGGUGGUGGAAUUCCCAGUGUAGAGGUGAAAUUCGUAGAUAUUGGGAGGAACACCGGUGGCGAAGGCGACCACCUGGACGAAGAUUGACGCUGAGGCGCGAAAGCGUGGGGAGCAAACAGG
rnacentral:rRNA from 1 species